CCUACGGGCGGCAGCAGUGGGGAAUAUUGGACAAUGGGGGCAACCCUGAUCCAGCCAUGCCGCGUGUGUGAAGAAGGCCCUCGGGUUGUAAAGCACUUUCAGUGAGGAAGAACGCCUGGUGGUUAAUACCCAUCAGGAAAGACAUCACUCACAGAAGAAGCACCGGCUAACUCCGUGCCAGCAGCCGCGGUAAUACGGAGGGUGUGAGCGUUAAUCGGAAUUACUGGGCGUAAAGCGCGCGUAGGUGGCUUGAUAAGCCGGUUGUGAAAGCCCCGGGCUCAACCUGGGAACGGCAUCCGGAACUGUCAAGCUAGAGUGCAGGAGAGGAAGGUAGAAUUCCCGGUGUAGCGGUGAAAUGCGUAGAGAUCGGGAGGAAUACCAGUGGCGAAGGCGGCCUUCUGGACUGACACUGACACUGAGGUGCGAAAGCGUGGGUAGCAAACAGGAUUAGAUACCCCAGUAGUC
rnacentral:rRNA from 1 species